UCCUAUGUAGUCUACGCCAGUGUGGUGAA
rnacentral:sRNA from 1 species